rnacentral:rRNA from 1 species
CCAGACUCCUACGGGAGGCAGCAGUCGGGAAUAUUGCGCAAUGGAGGAAACUCUGACGCAGUGACGCCGCGUGCAGGAAGAAGGUUUUCGGAUUGUAAACUGCUUUAGACAGGGAAGAAACAAGACAGUACCUGUAGAAUAAGCUCCGGCUAACUACGUGCCAGCAGCCGCGGUAAUACGUAGGGAGCAAGCGUUAUCCGGAUUUAUUGGGUGUAAAGGGUGCGUAGACGGAGAAGCAAGUUAGUUGUGAAAUCCCUCGGCUUAACUGAGGAACUGCAACUAAAACUACUUCCCUUGAGUGCUGGAGAGGAAAGUGGAAUUCCUAGUGUAGCGGUGAAAUGCGUAGAUAUUAGGAGGAACACCAGUGGCGAAGGCGACUUUCUGGACAGUAACUGACGUUGAGGCACGAAAGUGUGGGGAGCAAACAGGAUUAGAUACCCUCGUA